rnacentral:rRNA from 1 species
UACGAAGGGGGCUAGCGUUGUUCGGAAUCACUGGGCGUAAAGGGCGCGUAGGCGGCCAAAUAAGUCGGGGGUGAAAGCCUGUGGCUCAACCACAGAAUUGCCUUCGAUACUGUAUGGCUCGAGACCGGAAGAGGUUGGUGGAACUGCGAGUGUAGAGGUGAAAUUCGUAGAUAUUCGCAAGAACACCAGUGGCGAAGGCGGCCAACUGGUCCGGUUCUGACGCUGAGGCGCGAAAGCGUGGGGAGCAAACAGG